rnacentral:lncRNA from 1 species
UAAGUGUAGAAGAUACCAACAAAUGGUCAAAACAUAAGCGUAGAAGAUACCAACAAUCACAGUGUUAAAAGUUAAAACAUAGGUGUAGAAGAUACCAACAAUCACAUUGUUAAAAGUUAAAACAUAGGUGUAGAAGAUACCAACACAUGGUCAAAACAUAGGUGUAGAAGAUAUCAACACACAGUUAAACAAAGAUGUAGAAUAUCCCAACACAUGAUUAAAACAUAGAUGUAAAAGACACCAACACAUGACCAAAACAAAGAAUUAGAAGAAAUUAACACAUGGUCAAACCAAAGAUGUAGAAGAUACCGAACACAUGGUCAAAACAUAGGUCUAGAAGAUACUAACACAUGAUGGAAACCAACAUGUAGAAGAUAUCAUCACAUGGUCAAAACAAAAAUGUAGAAAAUACCAACACAUGGUAAAAAAAAGAUGUAGAAGAUCCCAACACAUGGUCAAAACAAAGAUGUAGAAGAUCCCAACACAUGGUAAAAACAAAGAUAGAGAAGAUAUCAACACAUGGUCACAACAAAGAUGUAUAAGAAACAAACACAUAGCCAAAACAAAGAUUUAGAAGAUACCAACACACACAUGGUCAAAACAAAGUUGAAGAAGAUACUAACACAUGAUCAAAACAAAGAUGAAAAAGAUACAAACACAUGGCCAAAACAUAGAUGUAGAAGAUAUCAACACAUGUUCAAAACAAAGAUUUAGAAAAUACCAACACACACAUGGUCAAAACAAAGUUGUAGAAGAUACAAACACAUGGUCAAAACAUAGAUGUAGAGGAUACCAACACAUGGUCAAAACAUAGAUGUAGAAGAAAUCAACACAUGGUCAAAACAAAGAUUUAGAAAAUACCAACAAGGAUUAAAAAAAUAACGAUCAUCAAAGACAUCAAAUGUCUUGCAGAAAACUAAACACAUAGUAAAAUGGAGACAACAAAGGCAGUGCAGAAUGUGUUGAAAUUAUUAGAAUCGAGACAAGUAGGUAUGUUGAUUUAGAAAGCGCACUACACGUGAUUAUUUCUAAAACAAAAUAAACGUACACUUGAGUUUAUUAUAGUUAGUUUUAGUGAAAAUUUAUUGAAUUUAUCUAUAUUUACGUUGAUUUUGAUUAGCAGGGACAUGCAUAUUGUUAGAACAUAUCAAAGAAGAAAAGGGGCAAUAUUUGAUGGAUUCCGUUAUAGGGAUGGCACAACAUAAAAGGGAUAAGAAAUAUCAGUUCAAAUUAAUAACUCGUUUGUUCAUUUUCCUUUUUGAGUUAUCCCGCUUUUUUCGGGAAUCAAAAAUAUUGUAUACAAUUUGCUCAAGAGGAAACAAGGGUGGUGUUACAAAACCUUUGGAAAAACAUAAGAUUAACUUUUUAAACACGGAC